rnacentral:rRNA from 1 species
UGGGGGAUAUUGCACAAUGGGCGAAAGCCUGAUGCAGCGACGCCGCGUGGGGGAUGAAGGCCUUCGGGUUGUAAACUUCUUUUGCUCUGAACAAGGCAUGCCUUUGGGGUGUGUUGAGUGUAGGGGUUGAUUAGCGCCGGCUAACUACGUGCCAGCAGCCGCGGUAAUACGUAGGGCGCGAGCGUUGUCCGGAAUUAUUGGGCGUAAAGGGCUUGUAGGUGGCUGGUUGCGUCUGUCGUGAAAGCUCAUGGCUUAACUGUGGGUUUGCGGUGGGUACGGGCUGGCUUGAGUGCAGUAGGGGAGGCUGGAAUUCCUGGUGUAGCGGUGGAAUGCGCAGAUAUCAGGAGGAAUACCGGUGGCGAAGGCGGGUCUCUGGGCUGUUACUGACGCUGUGGAGCGAAAGCGUGGGGAGCGAACAGG